GUUUUCGAUCCGAAACAAUCUAAAAGCUAGAAAUAAAUCGAACAAAAAAUGACUGAGACCUUGUCUCAACCAUAAGACGGGUUACCAGAAAAACGAUAAUCCAAUCAAACGGUGGUGCUUAUAGUGGUUUUCAUCACGUUUUGAUAUAUAUAUUAUCACUCGUUUUGACAGAAAAAUGAACUUCUGUUGUAUAUUUGUAUACAUAAUUGAACAUUUUGAUAAGAUUUAAGAAAAGUACAUAACUUUGUGGUGUUGGGAAACUUAUUUCCCUCACCAGGAGAUUGUUGCAUACAUGUACGGGUGAUCACUUCCAGACAGAGGUAGUUACAAUAUCUGUACGGGAAUGAGGAUUAUUUAUAAGACUGAAAUUAUUGUAUUAUUUGCUGGAAAUGUGGAAUAUGAGGAAUUUAAAACCAUUCGUGAGUAGUUUUUGAUGAUUCAGCUGGACAAAUGCCGGAAAUUAUACAGUUUUCUCCCACCUUAAAACAGCUACAUGGUAUAUCAUGGACACCAAAAGCAAACUAUAAAGAUCUAAAUGCCAUAAUUUUGUGCAUCUUGAAAACUGGAAAGGCUGAUCACUUUGAAGCAGAUGAUAGUGAUAGUGUUUAAAAGAAUUCUUUGCGACAGUUAUACCAGUUGGAACAGAUAAAAGAUACAUCAGAUGACAGACUUACAUAUAGAGGAGCCUAUAAUUAGAGAAAUGGAUCAACUUGAUUUUGAAGUUAACCUACUGCAUUAAUAUGAAAAUUCAUAAGUGACUGAGCAUAAAGAAAAUCACACAUGAAACUAUAACCAGUUUGGGAGACUCAUACAACAGAACAUUUCAAUACCUAUUAAGUUUUUUUUAUGUAUAUGUUUGACUUUUGGUAAUAUUUUGGAAGUUACUUUAAAAUGUUGAAAAUGACAAUUUUGAUAGAGGACAAUUUUAAGAAUAUCAACUUAGUUGUUUAUGAAUCUUUAUCUUUUAAAAUAUUACUGGGUGUCUGAAAGAAUAUUUCAAAAUUUUCUGAAACUAUUUAGAUAUUUAUCAUGUUUCAUGUGUUUAUAUAGGCAAAUAUUUAUACAUGUCAUUUAUGUUAUGCAAGGGUUUAUAUGAAUUUCUAAAAGAUGUAUAUAUAUGUGUUGAUAAAAUAAGUUCCAAAUUAUUACAGAGUUACAGAAAAAAGGAUAUAUUUAUAUUAAAACAAAUCUGUUAAAAGGGAAUGAAAAGUCAAAAAUUGUAUUUUUUAAAAUAAUUGUGUUAACAUUUUUGUGCUAUUUAGAAAUAUGUACACAAAAAAAACAACUUUAAUAUAAGUAUCAAUGUAGUAUGCCCUUGUUAUUUUUUGUUUUGUGCAGUACAUGCAUUUGAAUCUUGAUCAAAAUUUAUGGAUUGAAUUACUAAACAGAAUAAACUAAUUGUUAUGUUAA